UACGUAGGGUGCAAGCGUUAAUCGGAAUUACUGGGCGUAAAGCGUGCGCAGGCGGUUCUAUAAGACAGAUUUGAAAUCCCCGGGCUCAACCUGGGAACUGCAUUUGUGACUGUAGAGCUGGAGUACGGCAGAGGGGGAUGGAAUUCCGCGUGUAGCAGUGAAAUGCGUAGAUAUGCGGAGGAACACCGAUGGCGAAGGCAAUCCCCUGGGCCUGUACUGACGCUCAUGCACGAAAGCGUGGGGAGCAAACAGG
rnacentral:rRNA from 1 species